UACAGAGGGGGCUAGCGUUGUUCGGAAUUACUGGGCGUAAAGGGCGCGUAGGUGGCCUGUUAAGUCGAACGUGAAAUCCCCGGGCUCAACCCGGGAACUGCGUCCGAGACUGGCAGGCUCGAAUCCGGGAGAGGGAUGUGGAAUUCCAGGUGUAGCGGUGAAAUGCGUAGAUAUCUGGAGGAACACCGGUGGCGAAGGCGGCGUUCUGGACUGCAACUGACACUGAUAAACGAAAGCCAGGGUAGCAAACGGG
rnacentral:rRNA from 1 species